rnacentral:rRNA from 1 species
CGGACGGGUGAGUAACGCGUAAGAACUUGCCCUUUAGACUGGGAUAACAGAGGGAAACUUCUGAUAAUACUGGAUAAGUUAGUAUAUCGCAUGAUAUGCAAAAUGAAAGCUACGGCACUAAAGGAGAGCUUUGCGUCCUAUUAGCUAGUUGGUAAGGUAAGAGCUUACCAAGGCGAUGAUAGGUAGCCGGCCUGAGAGGGUGGACGGCCACAAGGGGACUGAGAUACGGCCCUUACUCCUACGGGAGGCAGCAGU